rnacentral:lncRNA from 1 species
UUUCACCAGGCCGCUCCUCAAAUGUUUCCCCAAAGCAUCUGGGUCACCAGGAAAGCCACUUACCGUCAAUUCCCCAAGCAGGGUGGUGAUCCAUUCAGAUGAACGGGGGAGCGUAUAUUCCACACAAAGGGACCCCAAAACACAUCACCAAAAACGUAGGUGGGGAAGAGAGAGAUAUUCCAUUUGGGAACGGGUCCUCCGGCGGCAGCAGAACGGGGCAUUCCCCAGGCAGCAUAAAACACUCCCGAUCUCUUUGGGGAGCGGAUCGGGAGCGGCUCCUUUUCCGAGCAGAGGGGCGCAGGAAAAGCAAGAACUCCUCCGGCUCAGACGAGCCUCCCGGGGCGUUGCUAGAUCCGAGCCCAGCGGGGUUAUUUCCAAAGCCCGGCUGCAGGGGUGGGGAUGCUCGGCCGCGGCGCUCCGGAGACCGGCAGAGGGACCUGCCCGCUGGCAAACCCAGCGCAUCCAGCCACGGCAGGGGCGCAGCGAGAGCUUCCCACAUCUCUCCCCGCACGGGACCUGUGGGUCCAGCCGCCAGGGGAUCCCAGCCCCGCUCCCACCGGAGCCCGGUGCACAAUUCGCUGCAAUUGCAGCCGGAGAAAUCAUUCGUCACUUGCUCUCCUAGAACAGUGGUAAAACAGAACUGUGGAACAUUGGCCUAGAAGUGCUGCUUUUAAGUAGCAGAUGAAUACUACUACUACAAUACCUCGCUCUCCAUAGCACAUUUCACCCGCAGAUCUUAAAGCACUUUACAAAGGAGGUAAGCACCGUUAUACUUAUUUUACAGCAGGGGAAAUUGAGAUACAGAGGUAAAGGCCUGGAUCCACAAAGGGACUUGCAUAGCCUCCAAGGACAGAAAGGACCACUGUGAUCAUCUAGUCGGACCUCCCGCAUAACGCAGGACAGAGAGCUGCCCCAAAAUAAUUCCUACAGCAGAUUUUUUACAUUAAACCCCGAUUUAAAAAUUGCCAGUGAUGGAGAGUCCACCAGAACCCUUGGUAAAUUGUACCAAUAGCCCUCACCAUCAAAAAUGUGCACCCUAUUUCCAGUCUGAAUUUGGCUAGCUUCACUUUCCAGCCAUUGGAUCACAGUAUACCCUUCUCAGCUCGGUUGAAG